rnacentral:rRNA from 1 species
GACGAACGCUGGCGGCGUGCUUAACACAUGCAAGUCGAACGGAAAGGCCCUGCUUUUGUGGGGUGCUCGAGUGGCGAACGGGUGAGUAACACGUGAGUAACCUGCCCUUGACUUUGGGAUAACUUCAGGAAACUGGGGCAAUACCGGAUAGGAGCCCCUGCUGCAUGGUGGGGGGUGGAAAGUUUCGGCGGUUGGGGAUGGACUCGCGGCUUAUCAGCUUGUUGGUGGGGUAGUGGCUUACCAAGGCUUUGACGGGUAGCCGGCCUGAGAGGGUGACCGGCCACAUUGGGGCUGAGAUACGGCCCAGACUCCUACGGGAGGCAGCAGUGGGGAAUAUUGCACAAUGGGCGGAAGCCUGAUGCAGCAACGCCGCGUGCGGGAUGACGGCCUUCGGGUUGUAAACCGCUUUCGCCUGUGACGAAGCGUGAGUGACGGUAAUGGGUAAAGAAGCACCGGCUAACUACGUG